UACGGGGGGGGCAAGCGUUGUUCGGAAUUACUGGGCGUAAAGGGCUCGUAGGCGGCCAACUAAGUCAAACGUGAAAUCCCUCGGCUUAACCGGGGAACUGCGCUUGAUACUGGAUGGCUUGAGAUUGGGAGAGGGAUGCGGAAUUCCAGGUGUGGCGGUGAAAUGCGUAGAUAUCUGGAGGAACACCGGUGGCGAAGGCGGCAUCCUGGACCAACACUGACGCUGAGGAGCGAAAGCCAGGGGAGCAAACGGG
rnacentral:rRNA from 1 species